AACCCAUGUGACGUUACAACUGUUGCCUCGGCGGGAACUCAUGCCCCGGGUGCGUCGCAGCCCCGGACCAAGGCGCCCGCCGGAGGACCAACCAAAACUCUUUUUGUAUACCCCCUCGCGGGUUUUUUAUAAUCUGAGCCUUCUCGGCGCCUCUCGUAGGCGUUUCGAAAAUGAAUCAAAACUUUCAACAACGGAUCUCUUGGUUCUGGCAUCGAUGAAGAACGCAGCGAAAUGCGAUAAGUAAUGUGAAUUGCARAAUUCAGUGAAUCAUCGAAUCUUUGAACGCACAUUGCGCCCGCCAGUAUUCUGGCGGGCAUGCCUGUCCGAGCGUCAUUUCAACCCUCGAACCCCUCCGGGGGGUCGGCGUUGGGGAUCGGCCUUCCUUCACGGGGGCCGUCUCCGAAAUACAGUGGCGGUCUCGCCGCAGCCUCUCCUGCGCAGUANUUUUGCACACUCGCAUCGGGAGCGCGGCGCGUCCACAGCCGUUAAACACCCAACUUCUGAAAUGUUGACCUCGGAUCAGGUAGGAAUACCCGCUGAACUUAAGCAUAUCA
rnacentral:rRNA from 1 species